CUCUACCAUAUCAGGAGUCUGUGGUGGUGGAUGCUCUAUCAUAUCAGGAGUCUGACUAAGUACCUGUGCCUGAACCUCUCUGUGUCUAGUUCAAAAGACCUGAAAGACCUGCUGUAAGCAGGCACAGGUUAAGAUUUUAAAAGAACCUGUAAGGUGAGCAACACAACACAAUAUAAAUCUUUAUUAUUAUUGUACGCUGUACAGUUAGAAUAAACUUGCAUGCUCAGAAGCCACGUAUGAUUACAUCGCCUACAGGUUGCCUGAUGCUGAACUUCGGGCAGCUGCGUGCUCCGUGGAACAACCGCCUGUGGGAGGAGUCGUUGUGUUGCUGUUAGGAGUUUGGGUCGGAGUCCUGGAUCUAUGGGAAUUCUUUCCUUGAAGCUCCUGAUCACACAACCAUACUGGCAGUCGGCUUACCCACUACCUUCUGCUCACCCGCUUGCAACUCAUGCUGUCAUUCUCCCAGACUUCUGGUUGUUUCUCCACCAUUCUGCUGUCUCCCGUCUGCGCUACAACUUCAGACCGGCCUUCUGAUCUUUAAACACUAAAACCUGUGGCUCCAUCUCUGUGGCGUUUCUCAGAAUCUGUAAGCUACCUGCACAGUCUAAGAAAAACCUGACCUGUUGCCUCUUACUAACCUCUGCUCUUCCUCGCAGAAGCUUCUGGUUCCUGAUCUCCAGCUGUUACCUCUUCAGUCAUCCGUCAAACAUUUUAAUAAACUGUUUUUAGCUCAUUUGUCUCCUGAGUUUCUCUGCAUGAAGGUCAGGUUGUUGCAAAAAUCAUGACAUCAGCAAUUACUUUGCACCACUCUGUUAAACAGCUGAUAUUAAU